GACGAACGCUGGCGGCGUGCUUAACACAUGCAAGUCGAACGGAAAGGCCCUGCUUUUGUGGGGUGCUCGAGUGGCGAACGGGUGAGUAACACGUGAGUAACCUGCCCUUGACUUUGGGAUAACUUCAGGAAACUGGGGCUAAUACCGGAUAGGAGCUCCUGCUGCAUGGUGGGGGUUGGAAAGUUUCGGCGGUUGGGGAUGGACUCGCGGCUUAUCAGCUUGUUGGUGGGGUAGUGGCUUACCAAGGCUUUGACGGGUAGCCGGCCUGAGAGGGUGACCGGCCACAUGGGGCCUGAGAUACGGCCCGGACUCCUCCGGGAGGCAGCGGUGGGGAUUCUUGCACAAUGGGCGGAAGCCUGAUGCAGCAACGCCGCGUGCGGGAUGACGGCCUUCGGGUUGUAAACCGCUUUCGCCUGUGACGAAGCGUGAGUGACGGUAAUGGGUAAAGAAGCACCGGCUAACUACGU
rnacentral:rRNA from 1 species